UACGUAGGGGGCGAGCGUUGUCCGGAUUCAUUGGGCGUAAAGAGCUCGUAGGCGGCUUGGCAAGUCGGAUGUGAAAACUCCAGGCUCAACCUGGAGCCGCCAUUCGAUACUGCUAUGGCUAGAGUCCGGUAGGGGAGUGUGGAAUUCCCGGUGUAGCGGUGAAAUGCGCAGAUAUCGGGAGGAACACCGAUGGCGAAGGCAGCACUCUGGGGACGUGACUGACGCUGAGACGCGAAAAGCGUGGGGGAGCAAACAGG
rnacentral:rRNA from 1 species